UCCGGCUUAUCACCGGCAGUUUCCUCAGAGUUCUCAGCAUUACCUGUUAGCAACAGAGGACGAGGGUUGCGCUCGUUGCGGGACUUAACCCAACAUCUCACGACACGAGCUGACGACAGCCAUGCAGCACCUGUGUCCUGUCCAGCCGAACUGAAGGACUCCUUUUCUGGAGUCCGCGACAGGCAUGUCAAACCCUGGUAAGGUUCUUCGCGUUGCCUCGAAUUAAACCACAUGUUCCACCGCUUGUGCGGGUCCCCGUCAAUUUCUUUGAGUUUUAAUCUUGCGACCGUACUCCCCAGGCGGGGUGCUUAACGCGUUAGCUACGCUACUCAGAGGUAACCUCCGAACAGCUAGCACCCAUCGUUUACAGCGUGGACUAC
rnacentral:misc_RNA from 1 species